rnacentral:lncRNA from 7 species
UUGACACGGCAGUGGUUGAAGCUCGCUGACACUCAGGAGGAGAUGUCAGGGUUUGCGGGAGGCUUGCUUUCAAGCUGUGAGUUUAAUAGCCCAGGGAAGCCCUCUACAAAGCUGACCCCAUUUCCUACAUGACAGUAAGAGCAAUAGUGAUAUGGCAGUGCCCACACUCGUGAAGCUGGAGCUUUUCCUGGGAAGGUUGGAGAUGGGAGCGCAGAUCAGUGCAGUGCUCUGUUCUGGGGAGCCUUGCUUCAGUUUUGACUGCUGAAAGCUCAUCAAAGCAGCGUGUUUCCAAUGAAAUGCUUCCAGCUCUGAGCUCGUUUCAGCAGAAAAUGCAAAUCUAACCAGCUACAACCCCAGCUUCCUUCCUCCAAGUCAUAUGGAAUAGGCACAGAAGAUUUAGUCUCCUGAGUGCCGGAUUUGUCUACAAGUCAGCCAUGUAUGUACUGUAAACAUCUGCGUAUUUACAAUGCAGAAUUCCCCUAAUUCUCAAUACCUCAGAUAAUGAUCGACUUCUUAAGAAGAUACACGUGGAAUUACAGUCUCGUCCUCUCUACAGUUUAACUUUGGAUAAUCAAUGACCACAGCCAGGCUGGAAGAAGAAAAACAAGUUGGCAGCUGUGACUAUGUGUUAAAAGGGAUGUUUAUGACUGGAUGAUUAAGAACAGCCGUUGGAAGGGAUCGAGACUGGCAGCAAAGCAUGUUUAAUGAGUGCCUUGCUUGAAACGCACCGUAAUACACAUUGCUUGUUUAGAAGAAGAAAACCACUUAUGACGGUACUCGAUGGCCUCUGCCAUUACAAGACCGUCAGAAUAGAGACCCAACUGAAUCAUUUGCACAACCUUUUUCUUAUCUUUCCGUGAGACAAAGUUCAUACAGAGAGAUAAGGAGACACUGCAAAUCAGAAGCUAAGCCUGGAAGAGCCUCCUGCAUUCAGAGAACCUUUGCUGCUACUUCAUUUUCCUAAGGAAACCCAGCAUAAUCAUUUGAGCGUUUGGAUUAGCACAUCUACUGGGAGGACAAAGGGAUAAUGCCAACUCUAUCCCUUUCUCUGUAGCCCUUGUAAACAGUAAGAAAACCACUCAGGCCCAAGAUUUGUAGCUGGUUCUAAAAGGGCAAAGGUUCCCCAUGACUCCAGGCAACAGGAACACACGCAAAAAAAACUCUGUCCCUUUGCUCCAGGCAACUGCUAGACAGAGGGUUGGGGUUCUGUUCUGUGCUGUUUGGGCUUUUUUCCCUCUGGAGGUGUAGUGCCUUUGCUCUUAAAGCAUUCUCAUCUACCUGGGAAAAUCACACAGGGUUACUUCUUGCUCAGCUCGUCAUAUUCAGCCCAUUGCCUUGGAUAGCUGCUGCUUCCAGAGCUACCACUGUCCAAAGACACGUGUCCCAGGGCACCCCACGCUUAGCCCAAGCUAAUAAAUCAAGUGUAUGACUGUCAACUGAUUAAAACCUGCUGAUGUUGCU